rnacentral:rRNA from 1 species
UGAACGCUGGCGGCGUGCCUAAUACAUGCAAGUCGAGCGAACAGAUGAGGAGCUUGCUCCUCUGACGUUAGCGGCGGACGGGUGAGUAACACGUGGAUAACCUACCUAUAAGACUGGGAUAACUUCGGGAAACCGGAGCUAAUACCGGAUAAUAUAUUGAACCGCAUGGUUCAAUAGUGAAAGACGGUUUUGCUGUCACUUAUAGAUGGAUCCGCGCCGCAUUAGCUAGUUGGUAAGGUAACGGCUUACCAAGGCGACGAUGCGUAGCCGACCUGAGAGGGUAAUCGGCCACACUGGAACUGAGACACGGUCCAGACUCCUACGGGAGGCAGCAGUAGGGAAUCUUCCGCAAUGGGCGAAAGCCUGACGGAGCAACGCCGCGUGAGUGAUGAAGGUCUUCGGAUCGUAAAACUCUGUUAUUAGGGAAGAACAAAUGUGUAAGUAACUAUGCACGUCUUGACGGUACCUAAUCAGAAAGCCACGGCUAACUACGUG